AAACCAUGAUGGGGGCACUGAUUUGUGUACUCCCUAAAUCUCUCCCAGACUUCACUAAAGCUCUCAUUAUGUUGUUGGGUGAAGGAUGAUAUCUGAUUUCUUAACUU
rfam:Eutrema salsugineum unplaced genomic scaffold scaffold_28, whole genome shotgun sequence.